rnacentral:rRNA from 1 species
UACCCUUAANNGAAGCACCGGCUAACUCCGUGCCAGCAGCCGCNNNNNNNCGGAGGGUGCAAGCGUUGUUCGGAAUCACUGGGCGUAAAGGGCGCGUAGGCGGUUUGAUAAGUCAGAUGUGAAAGCCCACGGCUUAACUGUGGAAGUGCAUUUGAAACUGUCAGACUUGAGUAUCAGAGGGGAAAGUGGAAUUCCCGGUGUAGAGGUGAAAUUCGUAGAUAUCGGGAGGAAUACCGGUGGCGAAGGCGACUUUCUGGCUGAAUACUGACGCUGAGGCGCGAAAGCGUGGGGAGCAAACAGGAUUAGAUACCCUGGUAGUCCACGCUGUAAACGAUGUCAACUAGAUGUAGGGGGUGUUGAUCCCCUCUGUGUCGCAGCUAACGCAUUAAGUUGACCGCCUGGGGAGUACGGUCGCAAGAUUAAAACUCAAAGGAAUUGACGG